GAUGUGGAUCCAUUAGAUACCCUGGUAGUCCAUGCCGUAAACGAUGUCUACUAGCCGUUGGGGCCUUUGAGGCUUUAGUGGCGCAGCUAACGCGAUAAGUAGACCGCCUGGGGAGUACGGUCGCAAGACUAAAACUCAAAUGAAUUGACGGGGGCCCGCACAAGCGGUGGAGCAUGUGGUUUAAUUCGAUGCAACGCGAAGAACCUUACCUGGUCUUGACAUAGUAAGAACUUUCCAGAGAUGGAUUGGUGCCUUCGGGAACUUACAUACAGGUGCUGCAUGGCUGUCGUCAGCUCGUGUCGUGAGAUGUUGGGUUAAGUCCCGCAACGAGCGCAACCCUUUUCCUUAUUUGCCAGCGGGUUAAGCCGGGAACUUUAAGGAUACUGCCAGUGACAAACUGGAGGAAGGCGGGGACGACGUCAAGUCAUCAUGGCCCUUACGACCAGGGCUACACACGUGCUACAAUGGUCGGUACAAAGGGUUGCUACCUAGCGAUAGGAUGCUAAUCUCAAAAAGCCGAUCGUAGUCCGGAUUGGAGUCUGCAACUCGACUCCAUGAAGUCG
rnacentral:rRNA from 1 species